rnacentral:rRNA from 1 species
AUACAGAGGGUGCGAGCGUUAAUCGGAAUUACAGGGCGUAAAGCGCGCGUAGGCGGUCUAUUAAGUCAGAUGUGAAAUCCCAGGGCUCAACCUUGGAACUGCAUCUGAUACUGGUAGACUAGAGUUUUGGAGAGGGAAGUAGAAUUUCAGGUGUAGCGGUGAAAUGCAUAGAGAUCUGAAGGAAUACCAGUGGCGAAGGCGACUUCCUGGCCAAAAACUGACGCUGAGGUGCGAAAGCAUGGGGAGCAAACAGGAUUAGAUACCCCCGUAGUCC